rnacentral:rRNA from 1 species
UCUUAUAUGGAGAGUUUGAUCCUGGCUCAGGACGAACGCUGGCGGCGUGCCUAAUACAUGCAAGUCGAGCGGACGGAUGGGAGCUUGCUCCCAGACCGUCAGCGGCGGACGGGUGAGUAACACGUGGGCAACCUGCCUGUAAGACUGGGAUAACUCCGGGAAACCGAGGCUAAUACCGGAUAACUCUUUUCCUCACAUGAGGAAAAGCUGAAAGAUGGCAUCUCGCUAUCACUUACAGAUGGGCCCGCGGCGCAUUAGCUAGUUGGUGAGGUAACGGCUCACCAAGGCCACGAUGCGUAGCCGACCUGAGAGGGUGAUCGGCCACACUGGGACUGAGACACGGCCCAGACUCCUACGGGAGGCAGCAGUAGGGAAUCUUCCGCAAUGG